AAUAUUUGACAAUGGGGCAACCCUGACCCAGCCAUGCCGCGUGUGUUGAGAAGGUCAUCGGCUUGUUAUGCACUCUAAGCUGGGCGGAAGGGCUUGAGGCUAAUACCCUGAAGUUUUGACGUUACCAACUGAAUAAGCACCGGCUAUCUCUGUGCCAGCAGCCGCGGUAAUACAGAGGGUGCAAGCGUUAGUCGGAAUUACUCGGCGAAAAGCGCGCGUAGGUGGGUCAGUAAGGUGGGUGUGAAAUCCCCGGGCUUAACCUGGGAACUGGUAUCUUAACUGCGGAGUUAGAGUACGGUAGAGGGUCGUGGAAUUUCCUGUGUAGCGGUGAAAUGCGUAGAUAUAGGAAGGAACCCCAGUGGCGAAGGCGACUACCUGGCCUGCUACUGGAACUGGGGUGCGAAAGCGUUGGGAGCAAAC
rnacentral:rRNA from 1 species